GGGCUAGGAGGGGUCCGGGGGUCGGGGGGUCCCACAGAAGAGCCCCGAGGGGCCCGGGGGUGGUCCGGGGGUCUCACAGCAGAGCCCCGAGGGGUCGGGGGGGGUCCGGGGGUCCCACAGCACAGCCCCGAGGGCUCGGGGGGUCCCACCCCACGGGAAGGGGGUCGAGAGGCCCUUGGGGUACCGUUCGGGGGUCCCGUAUUGGAUCUAGGGAGGCAGAGGGGCUCGGGGGUCCCACCCCAGGUUUUGGGGUGCUCAGGGGUCUGCCCGGGCUGUCACACACAUCUUUCGCACGUGGCACUUUAUUGGGUACACGCUGGGGGAAAUGGGGGGCCACGGGGGGUUUUGUGGGGCCCCAGGUCGUCACCAACAUUUGGGGGUCUCGGGGACUUGGGGGGCACUUUAUUACCCGUAUUGGGGGGGUCACAGGGACCUGAGGGGCGUCUGGGGGGGGUGGUCUCUAGACUGGCACCAGUGCUUGGAAGGCUCAAAGACUUGGGGGGCGCUUCUUACCCGUAUUUGGGGGUCUCACGGAAUUGGGGGAGGUCCCCAGAGGGGCACCAGCACUUCGGGGUCUCGCGGACUUGGGGGGCAGCUGGGGAGGUCCCCAGGCUGGCACCAGCGGUUGGAGGGCUCCCGGCUUUGGGUGGGGCACUUCGUUACCCGUCUUUGGGGGUCUCAAGGACUUGGGGGGCGGCUUGGGGGUCCCCAAGUCCUUAUCAGCACCUGGGGGGCUCAGCUGGGCCGGGCAGUUUGUCGCUCCUCUUCGGGGGGACUUGGGAUCUUCGGGGGGCUCCUCAGAUUGUCACCAGCACUUGGGGGUCUCCAGGAUAUGGGGGGGCUCAGGUUGUCGCCCCUUGGGGGUCCCCAGGGCAGUGUCAGUACUUGGGGGGUUCAGGAACUUGGGUGGGGUCCCCAGAUUGUCACCAGCACUUGGAGGGGUCUCAGGGACAUGUGGGACUGUUUGUUACCCGUAUUUGGGGGUCUCGGGGACCUGGGGGGGCACCUUGGGGGUCUCCAGGUCGUCAUCAACACUUGGGGGUCUCGAGGGCAUGGGGGGGGGCGUCCCCGGAUUGUCACCCGCAUUGGGGGGGGGGGGGGGUCUCAGGGACCUGGGGUGUCCCCGGAUCGUCACCAGCAGCACUUGGGGGGUCUCAGGAGUUUGGGGGUCCCGCCGUUGUCACCCGCAUUUGGGGGUCUCAGGGACUCGGGGGGCGGCUCGGGGGGCCGGCUGUCUCCGCCGCGCCCUACAAGUCUAUGGUGUCGCUGCCGGGGCUGCGGCCGCCGCCCGCGGGGGGCGCGGGGCCGGGGG
rnacentral:lncRNA from 1 species